rnacentral:rRNA from 1 species
CGAGGAUCAUUCGCAAUGCGCGAAAGCGUGACGAUGCGACGCUGCGUGGAGGACGACGGCCCUAGGGUUGUAAACUCCUGUCAUAAGGGAAAAACUACGCGAGGGUUAACACCCCUUGCGCGUGAUGGUACCU